rfam:Gossypium arboreum cultivar AKA8401 contig_30330_1, whole genome shotgun sequence.
GGGUGCGAUCAUACCAACACUAAUGCACCGGAUCUCAUCAGAACUCCGCAGUGAAGCCUGCUUGGGCGAGAGUAGUACUAGGAUGGGUGACCUCCUGGGAAGUCCUCGUGUUGCACCUC